CUAAGGCAUGGCUGUUUGUUUCUCAAGUAUUACUUGAAAAGGAAGUCUAUGAAAGCGGCAAGUACUGGCUUGCGUUUCUAUAUGUAAUGGUAUUAUCUAUACUUUUACGGUUAAAACUAAACGUGUCGUCGCUGCAGUUACAUGUAACCUGUUUCGAGCUUGGCAAAAUUCUUCCACGGAAUUAAUAAAGCCGAAAGUAUUACCUUCUCACUUUGUUUCAGUGAAAACAAUGCAAUUCAGGACAAAAAUACUGCCCUACGUCGAUGGAAGUACUUUGCGUUAGGAGAGACACUCGCAAAUAUGUAUCCCAACAUGCUUUGGGAAAAAUCGCGCAAGGACGUAAGAGGACGUACAAAAGGACCAAAGGCUGUAUUUCUGUCGCGGCUUGCGGAGGCAAGACGGCACAGGGCACAACGACGAGAAGCAAGUGAAGCUUCCAAGAAGGCUCCACUCCAGGCCGCAGCUCUGUCCUUAGAGCCCCAGUUAAUCGACUCCGAAUCUGCGUCGAUAGAACUGGAAGGUCGCACUUCAGACGAGAACGGACCCGGACCAAGGAUUCUGUGGACUGAGUCUUCAAGCCGAAAAUUAUUUCGACUGAAAUUAGUGUUCCCCUUAAUAAAUAUUGCGUGUGAAUGCAAGAAAGCGUUGCAAAAUGCUUCUUGUUAAACAGCGAGAGGUUUUUGGUUUAUAACGCCCCGUGUCUGGUCAGAAUAUGAGGAACGCCAUAACUGAGGGCUCCGGAUAAAUUUCAUGGAAUUGAGGUUUUUUUUAACGUGCAAUGACAUCAUACAAUACACGGGCCUCUGGCAUUUUGCUUCUAUUGAAAUGUCGCCGCAGCCGGGAGCGAACGCGCGUCUUCGAGAUUACCAGUUGAGCAUUAUAAUUACUGAACUGCCGUGGCGGGUUCAGUGUGCGCUUUGUUCAAAAAGUGCGCUGAAAUAAAACAUGCUCAUGUUAUAGGUUGUAAAAUACUGUGCACUGGCAUAUUAAGAGCACUUACCGAACCUGUAGUACACUAUUUCAACGUAACCCACAAAAUAUUUUAGGACCCUUUUACUCAGUGCUAAUCGCUAUGGUGGCAUAUAGUGCCAUAGGGAGGACCACCUGUAACCUUAAACGGUAGAAACCUAAUUGAGUAUGGAGUCAUGUCAAUGUCCUUUUUAAGCGUCCGUUGGAGAAUGUCCCAAAAGAAAAAAGCGUCCCUACAGUCUAUGAAACAGUGAUCUAUGGUUUCGGCACGUGGACAGAGCCGACAGUUUGUUGACCACGGCACAAAGCAACCCCUCGAAUUCAACCAAGUUUUAACAGGGAGUGUUUCCGAAUGUAAUUUAAAGAAAAAUGUUUUUACUCCAGGAGGCACACACAUUUUUCGGACGCGUUUAAGUACAUCCUGAUCGCCAUGCCGAAAGCCCGCGAACUACAAAAUCCUUCUUUCGCGAAAGUGCUGCGUAUGUAAGAAGUGUGUACGCUGUGCAGGAACCUCCGCCAGACUGGAUGCACUUGUUGGAUGCAUGUGUGUGUUUGCCUGAGUUUUCAGUGUGUAGUUGUGUCCGCUUUGUUAUACACCUUCAGUUUUC